rnacentral:rRNA from 1 species
GCUGAACUUAAGCAUAUCAAUAAGCGGAGGAGAAGAAACUAACAAGGAUUCCCCUAGUAACGGCGAGCGAAGCGGGAAGAGCUCAAAUUUGAAAGCUGGCACCUUCGGUGUCCGCGUUGUAAUCUCGAGACGUGUUUUCCGUGUGGCGCUAUGGACAAGUCCCUUGGAACAGGGCAUCGUAGAGGGUGAAAAUCCCGUACUUGCCAUGGAUGUACCAUGCUUUGUGAUACACGCUCUAAGAGUCGAGUUGUUUGGGAUUGCAGCUCAAAAUGGGUGGUAGACUCCAUCUAAAGCUAAAUAUCGGGGAGAGACCGAUAGCGAACAAGUACCGUGAGGGAAAGAUGAAAAGCACUUUGGAAAGAGAGUUAAAAGUACGUGAAAUUGUCGAAAGGGAAGCGCUUGAAGUCAGCCAUGCUGCUUGAGACUCAGCCUUGCUUUUGCUUGGUGUAUUUCUCGGUAGCAAGCCAGCAUUGGUUUGAGUCGUCGGAGAAGGGUAUGAGAAAUGUGGCAUCCUCGGAUGUGUUAUAGGCUUGUACUGGAUACGACGAUUUGGAUCAAGGAACGCAGUGUGCCUCUGGCGGGUCUUCGGACACCUUCACACUUAGGAUGCUGGCGUAAUGGCUU